GAUGAACGCUAGCGGCAGGCCUAAUACAUGCAAGUCGGACGGGAUUCCCGAUUUAUCGGGAUGAGAGUGGCGCACGGGUGCGUAACACGUAUGUAACCUACCCUUGUCAGGGGGAUAGCCUCUCGAAAGAGAGAUUAAGCCCGCAUAACAUUAUGAUAUAGCAUUAUAUUAUAAUCAAAUAUUUAUAGGACGAGGAUGGGCAUGCGGAACAUUAGCAGUUGGUAAGGUAACGGCUUACCAAGGCGACGAUGUUUAGGGGA
rnacentral:rRNA from 1 species